rnacentral:tRNA from 1 species
UCUAAUAUGGCAGAAUAUUAUGCAAGGGAUUUAAACCCCAUAAAUAAAGAAGUAAUCUUUUAUUAGAA